UACGUAGGUGGCAAGCGAUACUCGGAAUCACUAGGCGUAAAGCGCAGGUAGGAGGUUUAGUAAGUCUGUUGUGAAAGCUCCCGGCUUAACUGGGAGAGGUCAACGGAAACUGCUAGGCUAGAGUGCGGUAGAGGUAGCUGGAAUUCCCGGUGUAGCGGUGAAAUGCGUAGAUAUCAGGAGGAACACCGAUGGCGAAGGCAGGUCACUGGGCCGCAACUGACGCUGAGGAGCGAAAGCAUGGGGAGCGAACAGG
rnacentral:rRNA from 1 species